GCGCCCUACGGGGGGCAGCAGUGGGGAAUAUUGCGCAAUGGGCGAAAGCCUGACGCAGCGACGCCGCGUGAGGGAUGAAGGUCUUCGGAUCGUAAACCUCUGUCAGCAGGGAAGAACGGUCACUGUGCUAAUCAGCAGUGAAUUGACGGUACCUGCAAAGGAAGCACCGGCUAACUCCGUGCCAGCAGCCGCGGUAAUACGUAGGUGGCAAGCGUUGUCCGGAAUUACUGGGUGUAAAGGGAGCGCAGGCGGGAAGCCAAGUCAGCUGUGAAAACUACGGGCUUAACUUGUAGAC
rnacentral:rRNA from 1 species